CCUAACUGCCACUAAUGAAAACAAAACAACCUCUCACUCUUUCUCGGUACGUGAUAAUAGUGAAAAUAUGGAUAGUGAAUGAUUUGAUACACAGUGAAUGAUUUGAGGGUUUUUGACUGCCUUCACCUUAACUGGACACACAUUGGACACUUAGCAGAGGAGGGACAGCAUCACCUCUACAUUCCUUACUAAACAUAACACUGAACCACUUGAAGACUCCCUUCAACAGUGGCCACCUCGUCACUAUGGAUCAAAUCAAAACGGACGCCUGCUUUUUUGGAGGGGGUGGUCACAGCUAGAGGGACAUACAGCCGCUUUGGAUCGGGUUGCGAGUCACCAGUCCUUGACUUGAUCGGAAGACAGCACCGGGCGCCAUUUUAUUUUUUCCCCAACUGAAACCUCAAACUGUGAAAAAGAAAAACCACUCAAGAAAGACAUCUCUUCAUAGACCAAGAAGUCUCAUCUGCUGCUACAAGUGACAUCAUAAUACCAAGGCUUCCUUGAAACUCCAUUCUAACACUUACUGAGGGGCGGGGCGGUAGGUAGCCUAGUGGUUAGAACGUUGGACUAGUAACCGAAAGGUUGCAAGAUUGAAUCCCUGAGCUGACAAGGUAAAAAUCUGUGGUUCUGCCCCUGAACAAGGCUGUUUCUAGGCCGUCAUUGAAAAUGAGAAUUUGUUCUUAAGUGACUUGCCGAGUUAAAUAAAAAGUCAAAUAAAACUGAGUGGGGGACCCAAAAAUUGACACCAAUACAAAGAGUCCACAAGGGAGCGCUACCCAACCAGACCCCUACUACAUUUUCAGGACUGGAAAGGUGAAUGAAGAAGAAGAAGAAUGAUUUACCAAGAAGGUGCCCCUAGAUGCUGAUCUUGGGUCAGUUUUGUAUUUUCCCCACUAAUGGAGCUUAUGAUUGGGGGAACGGAAGCUGAUCCUAGACCUGUGCCUAGAGGAAACUUCACCCCUGAACAACCAAGUACAUGGCAUGUUACACCAUACAUUGGAGAUGAUGUGGAGUUUGAGGUUAUGUUGGUGCAGUGGGCGGAGUCUCGGUCCACAGAUGAUUAACCUCCACUUCCUGAUUCUCCGAUCACUUGGCUGGACCUGGCCUUGGUCCUACCUUGCACAAAUAUUUGUGUAGAUAGACUUGAGACAGUCCCAACGUACCACAUCAAGUUCAGCACCUUAAAACACAAAUGAACACAGACUUACACACACACAAACUGAGGGAUGGAAACACACACACACACACACACACACACACACACACACACACACACACACACACACACACA